rnacentral:lncRNA from 1 species
GCGGCGCCCCCUGCCGGCCGCGGAGGGCGCGCCUUGGAGGGAGAGGACUUUAGGUGACGCCGCCAGGAGGCGAAAUUUCACCUGCCAGCAGCUCUGGAGGUCAAAAGAAAUGAGACUGCUGGGCUAAGAUCAAGGUGUCAGCAGGGCUGUAUUCCUUCCCAAGGCUCCAGGGGAGAAUCUGUUCACUUGCCUUUCCCAGCUUCUAGAGGUUGCCUACAUUCCUUGGCUUGCGGACCCUUCCUCCAUCUCCAGAAUCAGUAACGAAAGAUCCAAAGCCAUAUCCUGGCUGAGUUGGCUGAGUUGAGCAGGACACUGACAAGGAGGCUGCUGAGCCUGCAACUCGACUGUUCUGUUUGAGGAGCUCUGUGCUUUAUCAUAGAAAUGGAUCUGGUGAGUGCAGAGCCCAGGGAAUCUACGGAAGCAUUUGCACUGUGGUAUUUCAGCGUCGUCAGUGCUCAAUCUUCAUAACCCUAAAAAACUUACUGAGAUUGGAAAAAUAACUUUCCUACUGUAAGUCUGAAUCUCUUGAACCCCUUCUCCUACCUUCACCCACUGAAUCCAUUGUUUUUAUAGUUCUGUGCUUGACAACGUGGAUUUUCGUAAGAAUGCCACUGUCUUUUUUUUUUUUUUAGACAAUAUCUCAGUCUGUUGCUCGGGCUGGAGUGAGUGGCAUGAUCAUGGCUCACUGCAGCCUCAGUCUCCCUGGGCUUUGGAGAUCCUCCUAACUCAGCCUCCCAGGUAGCUGGGACUAUAGGCAUGCGGCACCACACCUGGCUACUUUUUUUUUUGAGACAGAGUCUCACUCUGUCGCCCAGGCUGGAGUGCAGUGGCACUAUCUCCACUCACUGCAAGCUCUGCCUCCCGGUUUCAUGCCAUUCUCCUGCCUCAGCCUCCCAA